rnacentral:rRNA from 1 species
UACGGAAGGCAGCAGUGGGGAAUAUUGCACAAUGGGCGCAAGCCUGAUGCAGCCAUGCCGCGUGUAUGAAGAAGGCCUUCGGGUUGUAAAGUACUUUCAGCGGGGAGGAAGGCGAUGCGGUUAAUAACCGCGUCGAUUGACGUUACCCGCAGAAGAAGCACCGGCUAACUCCGUGCCAGCAGCCGCGGUAAUACGGAGGGUGCAAGCGUUAAUCGGAAUUACUGGGCGUAAAGCGCACGCAGGCGGUCUGUUAAGUCAGAUGUGAAAUCCCCGGGCUUAACCUGGGAACUGCAUUUUGAACUGGCAGGCUUGAGUCUGUAGAGGGGGUGAAUUCCAGGUGUAGCGGUGAAAUGCGUAGAGAUCUGGAGGAAUACCGGUGGCGAAGGCGGCCCCUGGGCAAAGCUGACGCUCAGGUGCGAAAGCGUGGGGAGCGAAACAGGAUUAGAUACC